GAUGAACGCUAGCUACAGGCUUAACACAUGCAAGUCGAGGGGCAGCAUGGUCUUAGCUUGCUAAGGCUGAUGGCGACCGGCGCACGGGUGAGUAACGCGUAUCCAACCUGCCGUCUACUCUUGGCCAGCCUUCUGAAAGGAAGAUUAAUCCAGGAUGGGAUCAUGAGUUCACGUGUCCGCAUGAUUAAAGGUAUUUUCCGGUAGACGAUGGGGAUGCGUUCCAUUAGAUAGUAGGCGGGGUAACGGCCCACCUAGUCAACGAUGGAUAGGGGUUCUGAGAGGAAGGUCCCCCACAUUGGAACUGAGACACGGUCCAAACUCCUACGGGAGGCAGCAGUGAGGAAUAUUGGUCAAUGGGCGAUGGCCUGAACCAGCCAAGUAGCGUGAAGGAUGACUGCCCUAUGGGUUGUAAACUUCUUUUAUAAAGGAAUAAAGUCGGGUAUGCAUACCCGUUUGCA
rnacentral:rRNA from 1 species